AACGAACGCUGGCGGCAUGCCUAACACAUGCAAGUCGAACGAGUCCUUCGGGCUUAGUGGCGCAUGCGUCCGUAACCCGUUGGAACCUGCCCUUAGGUUUGGCUUAACUCCCCGAAUGGGGUGCUCAUACCGGCUCUUGUCCUCCGUCCAAAGAUUUAUCGCCUUUGGAUGGGCCUGCGUUGGAUUAGCCGGUUGUUAGGGUAAAAGCCUCCCACGGCGACGUUCCAUAGCUGGUAAGAGAGGAUGGUCAGCGACACUGGUACGGAGACACGGCCCAGACUACUACGGGAGGGGGGAGUGGGUGAUAUAGGAAAACGGGCGGAGGGCUGAACCAGCAAGGACGGGAGAGUGAUGAAGGCCGUAGGGUAGUAAAGCACGUUUACCCGGGAUGGUAAUGACAGUACCGGGAGAAUAAGCACCGGCUAACUCCGUG
rnacentral:rRNA from 1 species